GCCUGGUCACCAGGGCUGCUUUUAACUCUGGCAAAGUGGACAUUGUCGCCAUCAAUGACCCCUUCAUUGACCUCAACUACAUGGUCUACAUGUUCCAGUACGACUCCACCCACGGCAAGUUCCAUGGCACAGUCAAGGCAGAGAACGGGAAGCUUGUCAUCAAUGGCCAUCCCAUAACCAUCUUCCAGGAGUGCGAUUCCACCAAAAUCAAAUGGGGGGAAGCGGGCGCCGAUUACGUUGUGGAGUCCACGGGCGUCUUCACCACCCUGGAGAAGGCCGGGGCUCACCUAGAUGGGGGUGCCAAGAGGGUCAUCAUUUCUGCCCCCUCUGCUGACGCCCCCAUGUUUGUGAUGGGCGUGAACCACGACAAGUACCAGAACAACCUCACCAUCGUCAGCAAUGCCUCCUGCACCACCAACUGCUUAGCCCCCCUGGCCAAGGUCAUCCAUGACAACUUUGGGAUCGUGGAGGGACUCAUGACCACAGUCCACGCCGUCACCGCCACCCAGAAGACCGUGGAUGGCC